UGAGGAAUAUUGGUCAAUGGGCGAGAGCCUGAACCAGCCAAGUCGCGUGAAGGAAGACUGCCUUAUGGGUUGUAAACUUCUUUUAUACAGGAAUAAAAAGGCUUACGUGUAGGCCAUUGCAAGUACUGUAUGAAUAAGCAUCGGCUAACUCCGUGCCAGCAGCCGCGGUAAUACGGAGGAUGCGAGCGUUACCCGGAUUUAUUGGGUUUAAAGGGUGCGCAGGCGGGCUUUUAAGUCAGCGGUGAAAUCUGGACGCUUAACGUCCAAACUGCCGUUGAAACUGGGAGUCUUGAGUAUGGAUGAAGUAGGCGGAAUUCGUUGUGUAGCGGUGACAUGCAUAGAUAUAACGAGGAACUCCGAUUGCGUAGGCAGCUUACUAAGCCAUAACUGACGCUCAUGCACGAAAGCGUGGGGAUCAAACAGGAUUAGAUACCCUGGUAGUCCACGCCGUAAACGAUGAUUACUAGUUGUAUGCGAUAUGAUAGUAUGUGACUAAGCGAAAGCGAUAAGUAAUCCACCUGGGGAGUACGCCGGCAACGGUG
rnacentral:rRNA from 1 species